UUUUUUGAGGCAUGAGACAAAUUUAAAGCAGAAGUGUACAAUGGAUUCCUAUGUCAGGAAUCUUGAAAAUUAGUACUUUUUAGAAGUCUGUUUCUUGGUAGGCAUAACAUAAUAAAAGAGAGCCUCACUAACGAAUCUUUGCAGUGCAGAAAAUUAUGGGAUGAAAAGAAAGGAGACCUUUUAAAAAUGGACUUUAGAUUCAUAUGAAAUGACCUUUGUAGCAUCACGUUGUCACCAGCCUUCCCCUCUCCUCUUGAUCAGCAAGUAGUACCACUUAGAGCUUUAUUAGAACAUCCCUUUGCCAACUUGGAAUGGCUCCAGGCAAAUCUGUCUUCCAAGGACACAGUUUGAAGUACUUAAAGUAAAUUGCAAUGGACUGGAUGGAUGGGGGCCACGGGAGUGGAUAGCCAAAUCAAGCAGCAUUGCUUGAGAUAAAGUCCCCCUCCAAGAGGCACUUGGUAUCCAAAUGGAGACCAGAACAUAUUCAUUUUUAAGGACUCCCCUCGAGCAGAAAGAUGAUUUUUACACCUUUAAAAGGAACCAAAAAUCCUAAAUUUCUUCAC
rnacentral:lncRNA from 1 species